GUUAAGCGACUAAGCGUACACGGUGGAUGCCCUGGCAGUCAGAGGCGAUGAAGGACGUGCUAAUCUGCGAUAAGCGUCGGUAAGGUGAUAUGAACCGUUAUAACCGGCGAUUUCCGAAUGGGGAAACCCAGUGUGAUUCGUCACACUAUCAUUAACUGAAUCCAUAGGUUAAUGAGGCGAACCGGGGGAACUGAAACAUCUAAGUACCCCGAGGAAAAGAAAUCAACCGAGAUUCCCCCAGUAGCGGCGAGCGAACGGGGAGCAGCCCAGAGCCUGAAUCAGUGUGUGUGUUAGUGGAAGCGUCUGGAAAGGCGCGCGAUACAGGGUGACAGCCCCGUACACAAAAAUGCACAUGCUGUGAGCUCGAUGAGUAGGGCGGGACACGUGGUAUCCUGUCUGAAUAUGGGGGGACCAUCCUCCAAGGCUAAAUACUCCUGACUGACCGAUAGUGAACCAGUACCGUGAGGGAAAGGCGAAAAGAACCCCGGCGAGGGGAGUGAAAAAGAACCUGAAACCGUGUACGUACAAGCAGUGGGAGCACGCUUAGGCGUGUGACUGCGUACCUUUUGUAUAAUGGGUCAGCGACUUAUAUUCUGUAGCAAGGUUAACCGAAUAGGGGAGCCGAAGGGAAACCGAGUCUUAACUGGGCGUUAAGUUGCAGGGUAUAGACCCGAAACCCGGUGAUCUAGCCAUGGGCAGGUUGAAGGUUGGGUAACACUAACUGGAGGACCGAACCGACUAAUGUUGAAAAAUUAGCGGAUGACUUGUGGCUGGGGGUGAAAGGCCAAUCAAACCGGGAGAUAGCUGGUUCUCCCCGAAAGCUAUUUAGGUAGCGCCUCGUGAAUUCAUCUCCGGGGGUAGAGCACUGUUUCGGCAAGGGGGUCAUCCCGACUUACCAACCCGAUGCAAACUGCGAAUACCGGAGAAUGUUAUCACGGGAGACACACGGCGGGUGCUAACGUCCGUCGUGAAGAGGGAAACAACCCAGACCGCCAGCUAAGGUCCCAAAGUCAUGGUUAAGUGGGAAACGAUGUGGGAAGGCCCAGACAGCCAGGAUGUUGGCUUAGAAGCAGCCAUCAUUUAAAGAAAGCGUAAUAGCUCACUGGUCGAGUCGGCCUGCGCGGAAGAUGUAACGGGGCUAAACCAUGCACCGAAGCUGCGGCAGCGACGCUGAUGCGUUGUUGGGUAGGGGAGCGUUCUGUAAGCCUGCGAAGGUGUGCUGUGAGGCAUGCUGGAGGUAUCAGAAGUGCGAAUGCUGACAUAAGUAACGAUAAAGCGGGUGAAAAGCCCGCUCGCCGGAAGACCAAGGGUUCCUGUCCAACGUUAAUCGGGGCAGGGUGAGUCGACCCCUAAGGCGAGGCCGAAAGGCGUAGUCGAUGGGAAACAGGUUAAUAUUCCUGUACUUGGUGUUACUGCGAAGGGGGGACGGAGAAGGCUAUGUUGGCCGGGCGACGGUUGUCCCGGUUUAAGCGUGUAGGCUGGUUUUCCAGGCAAAUCCGGAAAAUCAAGGCUGAGGCGUGAUGACGAGGCACUACGGUGCUGAAGCAACAAAUGCCCUGCUUCCAGGAAAAGCCUCUAAGCAUCAGGUAACAUCAAAUCGUACCCCAAACCGACACAGGUGGUCAGGUAGAGAAUACCAAGGCGCUUGAGAGAACUCGGGUGAAGGAACUAGGCAAAAUGGUGCCGUAACUUCGGGAGAAGGCACGCUGAUAUGUAGGUGAAGUCCCUCGCGGAUGGAGCUGAAAUCAGUCGAAGAUACCAGCUGGCUGCAACUGUUUAUUAAAAACACAGCACUGUGCAAACACGAAAGUGGACGUAUACGGUGUGACGCCUGCCCGGUGCCGGAAGGUUAAUUGAUGGGGUUAGCGCAAGCGAAGCUCUUGAUCGAAGCCCCGGUAAACGGCGGCCGUAACUAUAACGGUCCUAAGGUAGCGAAAUUCCUUGUCGGGUAAGUUCCGACCUGCACGAAUGGCGUAAUGAUGGCCAGGCUGUCUCCACCCGAGACUCAGUGAAAUUGAACUCGCUGUGAAGAUGCAGUGUACCCGCGGCAAGACGGAAAGACCCCGUGAACCUUUACUAUAGCUUGACACUGAACAUUGAGCCUUGAUGUGUAGGAUAGGUGGGAGGCUUUGAAGUGUGGACGCCAGUCUGCAUGGAGCCGACCUUGAAAUACCACCCUUUAAUGUUUGAUGUUCUAACGUUGACCCGUGAUCCGGGUUGCGGACAGUGUCUGGUGGGUAGUUUGACUGGGGCGGUCUCCUCCUAAAGAGUAACGGAGGAGCACGAAGGUUGGCUAAUCCUGGUCGGACAUCAGGAGGUUAGUGCAAUGGCAUAAGCCAGCUUGACUGCGAGCGUGACGGCGCGAGCAGGUGCGAAAGCAGGUCAUAGUGAUCCGGUGGUUCUGAAUGGAAGGGCCAUCGCUCAACGGAUAAAAGGUACUCCGGGGAUAACAGGCUGAUACCGCCCAAGAGUUCAUAUCGACGGCGGUGUUUGGCACCUCGAUGUCGGCUCAUCACAUCCUGGGGCUGAAGUAGGUCCCAAGGGUAUGGCUGUUCGCCAUUUAAAGUGGUACGCGAGCUGGGUUUAGAACGUCGUGAGACAGUUCGGUCCCUA
rnacentral:rRNA from 1 species